GUACAUGAUGUUCAUGAUAGAACAAAUUCUACUUAUAAACACUUUGUGUACAUGGAUUGGGAUAAUCUAAGCAGUCUUUUAGAUCUAUCUCUAUAGAUCUUCAUCCCUAGAAUGAGAGAUGCUUUCCCAAAGUUCUUUAUGAAGAACAAUGAUAACAGUGAAAUCUUUAAUUCUUGUAAUGUAAAAAAUAUCAUUCUCAAUUAAAAAAAUUUUAUUCACAUAUAAAAUAAG
rnacentral:lncRNA from 1 species